UACGGGGGGGGCAAGCGUUGUUCGGAAUUACUGGGCGUAAAGAGCUCGUAGGCGGCUUGUCACGUCGGGUGUGAAAGCCCGGGGCUUAACCCCGGGUCUGCAUUCGAUACGGGCAGGCUAGAGUGUGGUAGGGGAGAUCGGAAUUCCUGGUGUAGCGGUGAAAUGCGCAGAUAUCAGGAGGAACACCGGUGGCGAAGGCGGUUCUCUGGGCCUUACCUGACGCUGAGGAGCGAAAGCGUGGGGAGCGAACAGG
rnacentral:rRNA from 1 species